UACGUAGGUGGCAAGCGUUGUCCGGAAUUAUUGGGCGUAAAGCGCGCGCAGGCGGUCCUUUAAGUCUGGUGUGAAAGCCCACGGCUCAACCGUGGAGGGUCAUUGGAAACUGGGGGGACUUGAGUACAGAAGAGAAGAGUGGAAUUCCACGUGUAGCGGUGAAAUGCGUAGAGAUGUGGAGGAACACCAGUGGCGAAGGCGACUCUUUGGUCUGUAACUGACGCUGAGGCGCGAAAGCGUGGGGAGCAAACAGG
rnacentral:rRNA from 1 species